AGAAUGUGGACGCUCAUAUCCUGGGACUACCAAAGAGGGAAAAGUAUUGAGGCUGUUUUUAGCCGAUCUGUCUCAGACAUGUCUUACAGGCAUUUGCUGCUCUUUCACACGGACUGGAGUGGACUUUCCUGUGAAUUUGGAAAACUUUCAUGAGGAGAUCUUCUUUUCAAUGGUCGAUGCCAGAGCGGGCCUCCUGAAAAGAACAAGGAAUGCCUUCAACUUCCUGCCACCAGCUCUUGACGCUGCACAAAACUGGGGUGUCUUAGAUGAGUCUAGACAUGGAGAAAAAUUAAAAAAUAACUUCAAGUACACAAUGAAAAAUUACCUUACUUCUUUAGAUGACCUACAGAUGAGCGGUGAGAGUAUAGUUCAUCUGGAGCCAGUCACGGAUAAUUACUUUUCUAAAUUGGCCUCCCUUGAAGAUAUGGAAGUUGCAGCUGCCAACUUUGACAUGGUGCAUCGGCUGGAAGAAAUUCUGAGGCAAUGGUAUAAGCAAAUCGAGCAGGUCCUGAUAGAAAGUGAUCUAUUGAGGAAAGGGGAUGAUUCUGCUGGGCCAUUAAGUAAGUUGGACCACUGGAAAAAAAAGGUCUUUGAGGUUCAGCUCGAUCAUCGAUCACAUCAAAGGCCCAGAGUGUAAGGCCGUGGUAAUGGUGCUCUAUAUCAGACAAUCCAAGAUUAUGAAGAUGUGGAGGGUGCUAGAUGCCAAGAUAACAGAUCGCGCCAAUGAAGCAAAAGACAAUGUAAAAUUCCUUUCCACACUGGAGAAAGUCUGUCAACCUCUUUACAACAGCGACCCGGU